AGUGAACGCUGGCGGCGUGCCUAAUACAUGCAAGUCGAACGGAGUGGCGCACGGGUGAGUAAUGUAUAGCUAAUCUUCCCUACACUAGAGGACAACAGUUGGAAACGACUGCUAAUACUCUAUAGUGUAGGAUGAGGGUAUAUUGUAUCAGCUAGUUGGUGAGGUAAUGGCUCACCAAGGCUAUGACGCAUAACUGGUCUGAGAGGAUGAUCAGUCACACUGGAACGGAGACACGGUCCAGGAUCCUACGGGAGGCAGCAGUAGGGAAUAGUGCUCAAUGGGGGAAAAUCUGAAAGAGCAACGCGGCGUGGAGGAUGACAAUUUUCGGAGCGUAAACUCCGUUUGUUAGGGAAGCGGUACCUAAAGAAUAAGCACCGGCUAACUCCGUGCCAGCAGCCGCGGUAAUUC
rnacentral:rRNA from 1 species